CCCUUAGAUGUUCGGGGCCGCACGCGCGCUACACUGAAGGAAUCAGCACGUCUUUCUCCUUGUCCGAAAGGACUGGGUAACCCGCUGAACCUCCUUCGUGCUAGGGAUUGGGGCUUGUAAUUCUUCCCCAUGAACGAGGAAUUCCCAGUAAGCGCGAGUCAUAAGCUCGCGUUGAUUACGUCCCUGCCCUUUGUACACACCGCCCGUCGCUACUACCGAUUGGAUGGUUUAGUGAGAUCCUCGGAUUGGUCCCGGAGCGGCCUCUGGUUGUGCCGGAGUGCCGAAAAGAAUGUCGAACUUGAUCAUCUAGAGGAAGUAAAAGUCGUAACA
rnacentral:rRNA from 1 species